rnacentral:rRNA from 1 species
GUCGAGCGAACGGACGAGAAGCUUGCUUCUCUGAUGUUAGCGGCGGACGGGUGAGUAACACGUGGAUAACCUACCUAUAAGACUGGGAUAACUUCGGGAAACCGGAGCUAAUACCGGAUAAUAUUUUGAACCGCAUGGUUCAAAAGUGAAAGACGGUCUUGCUGUCACUUAUAGAUGGAUCCGCGCUGCAUUAGCUAGUUGGUAAGGUAACGGCUUACCAAGGCAACGAUGCAUAGCCGACCUGAGAGGGUGAUCGGCCACACUGGAACUGAGACACGGUCCAGACUCCUACGGGAGGCAGCAGUAGGGAAUCUUCCGCAAUGGGCGAAAGCCUGACGGAGCAACGCCGCGUGAGUGAUGAAGGUCUUCGGAUCGUAAAACUCUGUUAUUAGGGAAGAACAUAUGUGUAAGUAACUGUGCACAUCUUGACGGUACCUAAUCAGAAAGCCACGGCUAACUACGUGCCAGCAGCCGCGGUAAUACGUAGGUGGCAAGCGUUAUCCGGAAUUAUUGGGCGUAAAGCGCGCGUAGGCGGUUUUUUAAGUCUGAUGUGAAAGCCCACGGCUCAACCGUGGAGGGUCAUUGGAAACUGGAAAACUUGAGUGCAGAAGAGGAAAGUGGAAUUCCAUGUGUAGCGGUGAAAUGCGCAGAGAUAUGGAGGAACACCAGUGGCGAAGGCGACUUUCUGGUCUGUAACUGACGCUGAUGUGCGAAAGAGUGGGGAUCAAACAGGAUUA